rnacentral:lncRNA from 1 species
CCAAACCACGAUCAUUCAGACGUCGUGUGAGGUACCAUUCUCUUCGUCUCUUCGAGGGCUACAACUUUCAUUUUUGUCUUGCUUGAUUUCGUUGAGUUUUGACAAAGUUAUGACUGUUUAAAGUGGGUGUAAAAUUUCGGCCGAAAUUUUGAUUUUUUCUCCCAUUGGGCGAGUCCCACAUCGCCCAUGCAAGGAAGUGAGCAAGCCAUUUUUCCUAUAAAAGCCACACUCCCCUGUUGAGAUAUCCAAAGCUUGUUUGGUCUUUGGGCCAUUAUCAAGUGAAGUAUGUGUUGAGUUUACUUAACAUAUUUAAGUAUUUUUUUAAUAAAAUAUUGCGAUAUUAUCGAUAAUUUUGAAAAUAUCGCGAUAUUUUCGAUAUUAUCGAUAAUAUCGCGAUAUUUUAACGAAAAUAGGUUGGAUAGUUAAAAAAAUUUCGGAACUCCAAAAAAACGAUAAUAUCGGCGAUAUUUCACCGAUAUUAUCGAUUUUUUCUUCCUUGCACUAAACACAAUCGAACGAGAGUACUUGCAUGGAGGUCUACUCACAUGUCAAGCAAGUAACUCUAAUAGUUGGAAUAAUGUAAGUAGUCCUUUGACCUGAGGCAUCAUCGUUGUCUUGUGGUUAAGUACUUGAUCUUUGAUUAUGUCAAAGUCACUCCAUCCGCGGGUGUCCACGGCAUAGUCGAGGUUAAGCCACUUAGUCAUGAAGGCAAGUGAAUGCGCAACAAGGAAUCUCUAAUCCUCGUUAAGAGAGGAUGAAUACUCUAAGAUAUGUUUCUGGAAUCUUCGGCCGAAGUAUCGAGCGUAAUGAAGGAAAGCGUUCCUAUACGACUCAAUUGAAUCAUAUAAGAAGGAAUAAUCACAUUAGGGGUUUGACAUAAUAUAUCCAUACCCUAGUGAUGUGAUUGAGAGUAUUGUUUUAGAGAAGGAUCAAAUUGCAUUGUAAUUCCAACUGAAUAGGUUCUCCGAACAACUUCUACAUUAGCUUGGGUAGCCAU